AUGAGCUCUUCCUGUGCUUUAUACAUUUGCCACGCUGCAGAGAGACGCCCAGCGUCCUUGCCAGAGUCUGAGUAUCCAAUCAUGACCUCCUGUUUGCCAUUGAUCCUAUCCAUAUACCAGUCUACUGAAAAUAGGCGUGCAACCGCUGCUGGAGCGGCUUCAAGAUCUGCAAGCUUCUCAAAUAGUGGAACAACUCUCAAUGGCUUUUUUAUAUGGCACUCACGCUGUAAAAGCUCAACAGCAAGCACAUCGGAUGGGGCAGUUGCCAUUGAGAUGAUAUAAGCACCAAAACAAUCUGCUGGAAGCUCAGCAAGGAUAUGA
rnacentral:rRNA from 1 species